UACGGAAGGCAGCAGUGGGGAAUAUUGCACAAUGGGCGCAAGCCUGAUGCGGCCAUGCCGCGUGUAUGAAGAAGGCCUUCGGGUUGUAAAGUACUUUCAGUCGUGAGGAAGGUGUUAAGGUUAAUAACCUUAGCAAUUGACGUUAGCGACAGAAGAAGCACCGGCUAACUCCGUGCCAGCAGCCGCGGUAAUACGGAGGGUGCGAGCGUUAAUCGGAAUUACUGGGCGUAAAGGGCACGCAGGCGGUUAAUUAAGUUGGAUGUGAAAUCCCCGGGCUUAACCUGGGAAUGGCAUUCAAGACUGGUUAGCUAGAGUCUUGUAGAGGGGGGUAGAAUUCCGAUGUGUAGCGGUGAAAUGCGUAGAGAUGUGGAGGAAUACCGGUGGCGAAGGCGGCCCCUGGACAAAGACUGACGCUCAUGUGCGAAAGCGUGGGGAGCAAACAGGGAUUAAUACCCGU
rnacentral:rRNA from 1 species